rnacentral:lncRNA from 1 species
GUUAGCAUAACCAAACCGAUCUAUGCAUGUAAAUCAGUCUAUUUUCUAUCGAAGAAACUCUAGUUAUCAGAUAUGACAUUUUAUUUGGGACAUGGCUUUUAUUUUAGCACCACCUCUGAUUUUAUAAAUAGGGGGCAGCAGAUAGGGUUGAUCAUUCAACUCUUAUACAACCUUAUCUACUCCCUCUCUCCCUCUCUUAC